AUGGAUUCAAGAAAAUUGAAGAUAACUUAUUCUGAACCCAGUCAUAUGAAUUCUUCCAUGAUAGGACUAAAGAGACAAGAAUUUCACAACCAGACUGAGAGUAUGAACAGAAGGUGUUUGUCAAAGGCUGAGGUUCCCAAUAAUCUAAGUUCAGUUACUUUAACACUUGGACUGAAUAUAGAGAUAAGUAAACCAAUAGUUUUGUGUCCUUCUUUGUCAGUGACUAUAAUCAGUAACCAACACUGCUGUUUGUGGACAUUUGUUGCUGCAACAAUUGCCAGAAAGCUUGUGGCAACUAAGUAUCUAUCUAUCAAUAAUUAA
rnacentral:lncRNA from 1 species